AUGCAGGGAGGGAGGGAUAAAAUCACAUGGACCCUAACUGCAGAUCAAAAAUUUCCUGUUGGAUAUUUAUAUAGAAGAUUUCUGUGGAAGACCAAAGUGCCAGCAAAAAUUAGAGUUUUCUUGUGGCUAGUCAACAAAAAGAGCAUCUUAACCAGAGAUAUUUUAUUGAAAAAAGGGUGGAAAGGAGGGAAGAGUUGUGUGUUUUGUGGAAAAGAUGAAUCGGUUGAUCAUCUGAUUUUCAAUUGUUCAGUAGCGUCUUUGCUGUGGGGGUUGAUGAGAUGUGUAUGUGGGCUUAGAACCACUCCCCUCAAUGUAAGAGAUUGUUUUGGGGGGUGGCUAGGCAGGUUUAGUAGGGAUGAUAGGAAGCUAGUAAUGGUGGGGAUAUCUGCUUUGUUCUGGGCCAUUUGGAACAGUAGAAAUGGAAUUAUAUUUGAAAAUAAAAGUAUAAAUGAUCCUUUUGCUAUAAUCAAACUAAUGAGUCACUGGUUGAUUGAUUGGCCUAUCUUGCAGACAAAGGAGCCGCAAAAAAAGGUGUUGGAGCUGAGAGCAAGACUGCUAGAGCGGGUAGCAAGUGAACUCUAUACAGCGAUGCAGGAGUGGAGAAUCAAUGUGGCAAGGCUGGAAGGAUUAAAAAACUCUGGCUCCUGCUGA
rnacentral:rRNA from 1 species